GGGCUCUACCCCAGAUGCUGCUGUUGCUUCAGUCCUCUUGGUGGUUUACUCUUGAUAACUUCCUGGAGUAUUUUCAUCAGUUGUCUUUGUUUUUUGCAUACCAGAGAUGCCACACCUGCUGUUGGCUUUCUAUUUUUUUUUUUUUACUUGUUCUUUUAACUAUUAAUUAUCUGAAAGACUCCCCCCUCCGUUUUUUCCUUUUCUUUCCAAGAAUGGUGCUUCUGUUUUCAAUCACAGUUCAGCCAAAUAUGUGAGCAGAUGUAAAAACACGAAAUAGUCAUGUAGUUUCCUUGUGGCAUUACCUCCAUUUCACAGAGCCCGCUGCUGGAGCCCUGAGCACGCCAGUCCUGAGCAUUCAACCUCCAGCCCUCCGCCAUUGACACCUGCCUGCCUUGUCCUCCUGCAGUACCCUGUGCCCUGUGCGCAUGCGCGGGUGGAGGGCGUGGCCAGGAGCGGGGCACAUGCGGGAUUUAGUCUCCAUUCAGCUAAAUGACAAGCAGGAUUCCACCACCACUCCUCCUGCCCGACAGUGCGCGGACGGUCAUUUAUCCAUGACGGAUGAGGAUAAUUCUUGGGCCCAUUACCGAUGCUCUCACCAGGUGAACACUGAAGCCCAGGUUAGCAGCACCAGGCGAGGAGUGGUUGGGCCUUUCAGUGGCAGUCGCCGCUGGCUACAAAGACCGCGGGCGUUUAUAGCAGGACUUGGCCUAUUGGUAGUGCAAUAGCUAUGAAUGGUUUUCAUUAUUGGCGAAAGAAACUCAUUCUUCAGAAAAGUGCCAAGUGCCCGGUGACAGUUGUUUACACACCUGAGACACAUAUUCUGGAAGCUGUGAUCCUGGGCCUGGACAUACGGAAGAGUUAUGGUGACCAACCAACCUGGUGACGAAAAAGCACAAACUUCAACACCAACCAAUAGUUAGGACCCCAGAGAGAUGCUGACAUUUCUGGUAAAAAAAAAAAGUGAGAAAUCAAAUAUGAAUCUGAUGGACAAGCCAACACCCAGCUUCCCACAAGACAGACAGUAAAUCAACGAUGUUCCGGAGCUGCGUCAAUCUGAAUCCCAAUCAGGACAGAUCCGCCUUCUUCAGAACAUAGCUUUUGGUGGAAAAACACCUCAGUUUUUGUCCUAGGCUCUCCAUUCUAUGCUGGCCACAAGAGAACAAGGAAGUGGCAGGAUAUUCAUGGAGGAAACAUUUCCACGGCACUCAGAGAUCGAAGUGUUUAUAUCCCAGACUGGACGAGCUUCAGUAUGAAUUUGCAUCUUGCCUCUGUACUGCUUGCUAUUUUUUAAUGAUAGGAGAAAGCAUAACAGUUUAUUUUAAAUA
rnacentral:lncRNA from 1 species